AUGAAAGUUCCAUUAGAAAAACUCACUCACUUACAAAUGCAAAGAAUGCAGCUGUUCAUCUCGCAGCUGCUGGCUCAGCCCAUAGAGGUGUCUGCCGCGGGAUUCUGCACCAUGAACAAGGCCACACUGGUGUCGGUGGUGACGGGGAUGGCCAUGCACUUCGUCAUCAUCCUGCAGUUCUCCGGCAAGGUCCAGGAGUUCACGGACGCCUAUGCCAACGUGAGCACGUGGGACAACCCGGGCUGCUGAUUGGUCCCCACCUGGUCCACGG